AUUGGCAUGACUACCAGAAGAAAAGGUACUUACAUCACUGAUUCUAGUGCUACUAACAGUGAUGGAUUAAACUAAUCAGCCAACAAAAUACUCAUUGACAGUACAUGUUGGAUUUGAUACCAGGUGCUUGCCAAAGCGCCCAGGCGUAUUGUCUUACAAUGUCUACAAAAUGCAGGUUAAACUGUCUACUGGUCAAAUGGUGGAUUUGAUACCUCGGUGCUUGCCAAACACAGCCAAUAUGCACAAUCAGUGGAAGGGACUGUUUGGCCCUGAUGUACCAAGUAUGCAUUAUGAUUGUUAGUUGUUACAACUUAACCUGGAUUGACAGGAGAGCAUUGUGAAGCUAGGCUACUAAUGAUCAACUGCAGCAGAAGCAUUUCUACAAAGCUUUGGAGCAUUAUUAGGAUAUUCAGAUCUCCUGCAACAACAUGGAAAAGAAACGAAUCAAAGGCAGGAAGCUAUAGGUCCGUAGAUGCAUCACAAGUGAGGAGUAAGAUGCCAUAUGCAAGCUUCAAGGACAGGUUAAAGAGAGAGCUAAAUGGAUUUCAAGUGGAAUUGAAAGCUACAGACCCCAUCAAGAUGAGCAUUGAUAUCAUCAAGGGCUGGGCUCUUCACCCUUCAUCAUUUUAUUUUUUUUCCCUUUCUUUAUUAAAAAAUCCCAACCAUCAAUAUCUUUCACUCAAUUCUCUUCUUCUUCUUCUUCUUUUGGCAUUUUUUCUAUUGAUAAUAUAUGUGAUUCAAUGUCUAGAAUGGCAACUUCAUUUAGUUUAACGGUUUAUGUUUCCUGGAUGUAGCUGCAAUGAGGUGAUGGGCCUUUGUAUUUUGGAUAUAUACGGUGUGUUGUUUUUUUUUUCUUU